CAGGGGUGAGCGGUAAUUCUACAGAUUGAA
rnacentral:sRNA from 1 species